rnacentral:rRNA from 1 species
UACGGGGGGGGCAAGCGUUGUUCGGAAUUACUGGGCGUAAAGGGCUCGUAGGUGGUCAACUAAGUCGGACGUGAAAUCCCUCGGCUUAACCGGGGAACUGCGUCCGAUACUGGAUGACUUGAGUUCGGGAGAGGGAUGCGGAAUUCCAGGUGUAGCGGUGAAAUGCGUAGAUAUCAAGAGGAACACCUGAGGUGAAGACGGGUUGCUGGGCUGACACUGACGCUGAGGCGCGAAAGCUAGGGUAGCAAACGGG